rnacentral:ncRNA from 2 species
UUCUUAUCUAGAGAGGUGGAGGGACUGGCCCUUUGAAGCCUCGGCAGCAGACUUUUCGAAGUACUGUGCCAAUUCCAGAAGCGAAAAGCUUGAAGAUAAGAA